GAUGAACGCUGGCGGCGUGCCUAACACAUGCAAGUCGAACGAAGCUCCCCGAACUUGAGUUUUCGGUACGAAGAGGAAGGGAUGACUUAGUGGCGGACGGGUGAGUAACGCGUGAGCAACCUGCCUCGGAGUGGGGGACAACAGUUGGAAACGACUGCUAAUACCGCAUAACGUGCAGAGGGACAUCUCCUUUGCACCAAAGAUUUAUUGCUCUGAGAUGGGCUCACGUCUGAUUAGUUAGUUGGUAGGGUAACGGCCUACCAAGACUGCGAUCAGUAGCCGGACUGAGAGGUCGAACGGCCACAUUGGGACUGAGAUACGGCCCAGACUCCUACGGGAGGCAGCAGUGGGGAAUAUUGGGCAAUGGGCGAAAGCCUGACCCAGCAACGCCGCGUGAAGGAAGAAGGCCUUCGGGUUGUAAACUUCUUUUAUGAGGGACGAAGAAAGUGACGGUACCUCAUGAAUAAGCCACGGCUAACUACGUG
rnacentral:rRNA from 1 species